rnacentral:rRNA from 1 species
GAUGAACGCUGGCGGCGUGCCUAAUACAUGCAAGUCGAGCGAACAGACGAGGAGCUUGCUCCUCUGACGUUAGCGGCGGACGGGUGAGUAACACGUGGAUAACCUACCUAUAAGACUGGGAUAACUUCGGGAAACCGGAGCUAAUACCGGAUAAUAUAUUGAACCGCAUGGUUCAAUAGUGAAAGACGGUUUUGCUGUCACUUAUAGAUGGAUCCGCGCCGCAGUAGCUAGUUGGUAAGGUAACGGCUUACCAAGGCAACGAUGCGUAGCCGACCUGAGAGGGUGAUCGGCCACACUGGAACUGAGACACGGUCCAGACUCCUACGGGAGGCAGCAGUAGGGAAUCUUCCGCAAAGGGCGAAAGCCUGACGGAGCAACGCCGCGUGAGUGAUGAAGGUCUUCGGAUCGUAAAACUCUGUUAUUAGGGAAGAACAAAUGUGUAAGUAACUAUGCACGUCUUGACGGUACCUAAUCAGAAAGCCACGGCUAACUACGUG